CGAAAGCCUGACGCAGCAACGCCGCGUGGGGGAUGAAGGCCUUCGGGUUGUAAACCCCUUUCAGGAGGGAAGAAAUUGACGGUACCUCCAGAAGAAGGACCGGCCAACUACGUGCCAGCAGCCGCGGUAAUACGUAGGGUCCAAGCGUUAUCCGGAAUCAUUGGGCGUAAAGCGUCCGCAGGUGGCUGUUCAAGUCUGCUGUCAAAGACAGAAGCUUAACUUCUGAAAGGCAGUGGAAACUGGAGAGCUAGAGUACGGUAGGGGUUGAGGGAAUUCCCAGUGUAGCGGUGAAAUGCGUAGAUAUUGGGAAGAACACCAGUGGCGAAGGCGCUCAACUGGGCCGUAACUGACACUCAGGGACGAAAGCUAGGGGAGCG
rnacentral:rRNA from 1 species